AGCGAACGCUGGCGGCAGGCUUAACACAUGCAAGUCGAACGGGCGUAGCAAUACGUCAGUGGCAGACGGGUGAGUAACGCGUGGGAACGUACCCCUCGGCGGGGGAUAACUACUCGAAAGGGUGGCUAAUACCGCAUGAGACCACGAGGUCUUCGGACCUUGAGGCCAAAGGCUGCAUCGGCUUGCCGGUGUAGUCACCGGAGGAUGGGCCCGCGUCCGAUUAGCUAGUUGGUGAGGUAAUGGCUCACCAAGGCGACGAUCGGUAGCUGGUCUGAGAGGAUGAUCAGCCACACUGGAACUGGAACACGGUCCAGACUCCUACGGGAGGCAG
rnacentral:rRNA from 1 species